GUGAUUCUGGAAUGUUACCAAGCUGUCACCUCAGCCACAAAAAGCUUGAAACAGGUAAACUUGACAUGGGUAAGCUUGGGUGUGAUUCUGGAAUGUUACCAAGCUGUCACCUCAGCCACAAAAAGCUUGAAACAGGUUAACUUGACAUGGGUAAGCUUGGGUGUGAUUCUGGAAUGUUACCAAGCUGUCACCUCAGCCACAAAAAGCUUGAAACAGGUUAACUUGACAUGGGUAAGCUUGGGUGUGAUUCUGGAAUGUUACCAAGCUGUCACCUCAGCCACAAAAAGCUUGAAACAGGUAAACUUGACAUGGGUAAGCUUGGGUGUGAUUCUGGAA